GGGACACCGAGGCCUCGCGGCCAAGCGACUCGCCGCGGUCGCCGGGCUGCGAACGGUGGAGCCGCCGGGACUCGGACCAGGACGCGAGCUCCAGAGCAGGGGAUGACAGGCCUGAGCCGCAGGGGCCGGGAGGAAGGCCGCGCUGCUGUCCUGGGGCUGGGCAGCCUCCGCAUUGCACAGCGCAGACCGCUCUAGCCUUAGGCCUGGAGGGGACACCAGGAGAUGAGGCUUCUGGCUCAGCCUGCUCUCUGCAGCCACA
rnacentral:lncRNA from 1 species